rnacentral:rRNA from 1 species
GAUGAACGCUGGCGGCGUGCCUAAUACAUGCAAGUCGAGCGAACGGACGAGAAGCUUGCUUUUCUGAUGUUAGCGGCGGACGGGUGAGUAACACGUGGAUAACCUACCUAUAAGACUGGGAUAACUUCGGGAAACCGGAGCUAAUACCGGAUAAUAUUUUGAACCGCAUGGUUCAAAAGUGAAAGACGGUCUUUCUGUCACUUAUAGAUGGAUCCGCGCUGCAUUAGCUAGUUGGUAAGGUAACGGCUUACCAAGGCAACGAUGCAUAGCCGACCUGAAAGGGAGAUUGGCCACACGGGAACAGAGACAGGUCCCAGACUCCGACAGGAGGAAGCAGUAGAGAAUCUUACGCGAUGGACGAAAGCCUGACGGUGCAACGCCGGGUGAGUCAUGAUGGACUUCGGAUGCGUAAACGCUGUUAUUAGGGAAGAACUAAUGUGUAAGUAACUGUGAACAUCUUGACGGUACCUAAUCAGAAAGCCACGGCUAACUACGUG